UGGGGAAUAUUGGACAAUGGGCGAAAGCCUGAUCCAGCCAUGCCGCGUGUGUGAAGAAGGUCUUCGGAUUGUAAAGCACUUUAAGUUGGCAGGAAGGGCAGUAAGCGAAUACCUUGCUGUUUUGACGUUACCGACAGAAUAAGCACCGGCUAACUCUGUGCCAGCAGCCGCGGUAAUACAGAGGGUGCAAGCGUUAAUCGGAAUCACUGGGCGUAAAGCGCGCGUAGGUGGUUCGUUAAGUUGAAUGUGAAAGCCCCGGGCUCAACCUGGGAACUGCAUCCAAAACUGGCGAGCUAGAGUAGGGCAGAGGGUGGUGGAAUUUCCUGUGUAGCGGUGAAAUGCGUAGAUAUAGGAAGGAACACCAGUGGCGAAGGCGACCACCUGGGCUCAUACUGACACUGAGGUGCGAAAGCGUGGGGAGCAAACAGG
rnacentral:rRNA from 1 species